rnacentral:rRNA from 1 species
UACGAAGGGGGCUAGCGUUGUUCGGAAUUACUGGGCGUAAAGCGCGCGCAGGCGGCUAUCCAAGUCAGUGGUGAAAGCCCGGAGCUCAACUCCGGAACUGCCAUUGAAACUGUUUAGCUUGAGGACGAGAGAGGUGAGUGGAAUUCCCAGUGUAGAGGUGAAAUUCGUAGAUAUUGGGAAGAGCACCGGUGGCGAAGGCGGCUCACUGGCUCGUUUCUGACGCUCAGGCGCGACAGCGUGGGGAUCAAACAGG